rnacentral:ncRNA from 1 species
GCAGCUCAAAAUGGGUGGUAAAUGCCAUCUAAGGCUAAAUAUAGAGGAGAGACCGAUAGCGCACAAGUAGAGUGAUCGAAAGAUGAAAAGCACUUUGAAAAGAGGGUUAAACAGUACGUGAAAUUGUUGAAAGGGAAGGGUAGGAAGUCAGAUAUGCCUUUGCGGAUUCAGCUUGACCUUUCGAGGUUGUGUGUAUUUCCGUCUUGGCAGGCCAACAUCGAUUUUGGCUGUCGGAUAUGACUGGAAGGAAUGUGGCACUCUCUUCGGAGGGUGUGUUAUAGCCUUUUAUUUGGUAUGGCGGCUGGGAUCGAGGGACGCAGUGCAGCCUUUUGUGCGGGCGUUCGGGCCCGUUUGCACAUAGGAUGUUGGCUUAAUGGCUCUCUGCCACCCGUCUUGAAACACGGACCAAGGAGUCUAACAUGUAUGCGAG